rnacentral:rRNA from 1 species
CCUACGGGAGGCAGCAGUGGGGAAUAUUGGACAAUGGGGGGAACCCUGAUCCCGCGACGCCGCGUGAGUGAAGAAGUAUUUCGUUAUGUAAAGCUCUAUCAGCAGGGAAGAAAGAAAUGACGGUACCUGACUAAAAAGCCCCGGCUCACUACGUGCCAGCAGCCGCGGGAAUACGUAGGGGGCAAGCGUUAUCCGGAUUUACUGGGUGUAAAGGGAGCGUAGACGGCGAUGCAAGUCUGAAGUGAAAGGCGGGGGCCCAACCCCCGGACUGCUUUUGAAACUGUAUGGCUGGAGUGCAGGAGAGGUAAGUGGAAGUCCUAGUGUAGCGGUGAAAUGCGUAGAUAUUAGGAGGAACACCAGUGGCGAAGGCGGCUUACUGGACUGUAACUGACGUUGAGGCUCGAAAGCGUGGGGAGCAAACAGGAUUAGAUACCCGAGUAGUC